UGCUUCUUACACGGCUCUUUCGAAAGGUUAAUCAUCAAACUUUAGUUUGGGACUAUAUAAUGUACUUCCCACCUCCGCCCACUGUACCAUGAGAUCAACAAGAUUAGAUAUCUCUGUAACCUGCUCACCAGCAAAAUGUGAUAUUCUGGCUGAGACAAGAAGCUAAGAACAACUGGCCUGCAAGAUUAAGACUGGCUAUCAUACUGUGGCUCUGUAACCCUCUGCUGGACUAAACCUGAAGUUUGCUGUACAUGGUUUGUGUCGACAUCAGA